rnacentral:rRNA from 1 species
GACGAACGCUGGCGGCGUGCCUAAUACAUGCAAGUAGAACGCACAGUUUAUACCGUAGCUUGCUACACCAUAGACUGUGAGUUGCAAACGGGUGAGUAACGCGUAGGUAACCUGCCUGGUAGCGGGGGAUAACUAUUGGAAACGAUAGCUAAUACCGCAUAAUAUUGAUUAUUGCAUGAUAAUUGAUUGAAAGAUGCUAUUGCAUCACUACCAGAUGGACCUGCGUUGUAUUAGCUAGUAAGUGAGGUAACGGCUCACCUAGGCGACGAUACAUAGCCGACCUGAGAGGGUGAUCGGCCACACUGGGACUGAGACACGGCCCAGACUCCUACGGGAGGCAGCAGUAGGGAAUCUUCGGCAAUGGACGAAAGUCUGACCGAGCAACGCCGCGUGAGUGAAGAAGGUUUUCGGAUCGUAAAGCUCUGUUGUAAGAGAAGAACGGGUGUGAGAGUGGAAAGUUCACACUGUGACGGUAUCUUACCAGAAAGGGACGGCUAACUACGUG